rnacentral:rRNA from 1 species
CCAUCGUAGUUCGCACAGUAAACGAUGCCGACUCGGGAUUGGGUUCUCUUCGCUAUCAUAGAAGGAUCUCGGCACCGUAUGUGAAAACAAAGUCUUUGGGUUCCGGGGGGAGUAUGGUCGCAAGGUUGAAACUUAAAGGAAUUGACGGAAGGGCACACCAGAGGUGGAGCCUGCGGUUUAAUUUGACUCAACACGGGGAAACUCACCAGGUCCAGACAUGAGAAGGAUUGACAGUUUGAAAGCACUUUCUUGAUUUCAUGGGUGGUGGUGCAUGGCCGUUCUUAGUUGGUGGAGUGAUUUGUCUGGUUGAUUCCGAUAACGAACGAGACUCUCAGAGUAAACUGGCUUAGGUCGUAAUUCACGUUACUUCCGGCCUCUUUUCUCGACAAUUCGUAUAAAGCGAAAGGAAGCGGAGAGCAAUAACAGGUCUGUGAUGCCCCUCGAUGUUCUGGGCCACACGCGCGCUACAAUGACGAAUUCAACGAGCUGUUUUCUCCUUGCCCGGAAGGGUGUGGGUAAUCUUUUCAAUGUUCGUCGUGAUGGGGCUAGAUUUUUGCAAUUAUUAAUCUUCAACGAGGAAUCUCUAGUAUGUGCAGUUCAUCAGACUGCGCAGAAUGCGUCCCUGCCCUUUGUACACACCGCCCGUCGCACCUACCGAUUGGACGAUCCGGCAAGAUGUUCGGAGUUGCGUUUGUUGGGCUCUCGGGUCUGACUUAUGCGACAAAGCUCCUCAAACCUUAUCGUCUAGAGGAAGGUGAAGUCGUAACAAGGUUUCCGUAGGUGAACCUGCAGAAGGAUCA